rnacentral:rRNA from 1 species
GACGAACGCUGGCGGCGUGCUUAACACAUGCAAGUCGAACGGACAGGCCCUGCUUGCCGGGUACUCGAGUGGCGAACGGGUGGGUAACACGUGGGUGAUCUGCCCUGCACAUCGGGAUAAGCCUGGGAAACUGGGUCUAAUACCGGGUAGGAGCCAUUUUUAGUGUGAUGGUUGGAAAGUUUUUUCGGUGUGGGCUGAGCGCGGGGCCUAUCAGCUUGUUGGUGGGGUAAUGGCCUACGAAGGCGGCGGCGGGGAGCCGGCGUGGGUGGGUGGACGGGCUCAGUGGCAUUGGGAUAGGGCCCAGACCCCUACGGGAGGCAGAAGUGGCGAAUAGUGCUCAAGGGGCGCAAGCCUGAGGCAGCCACGCCGCGGGGGGGAUGACGGCCUACGGGUUGUAAUUGCAUUUCUCUAUGGACGAAGCUUUUUGUGACGGUACCUAGAGAAGAAGCACCGGCUAACUACGUG